rnacentral:rRNA from 1 species
UGGAUCCAGACUUUGAUCCUGGCUCAGGAUGAACGCUAGCUACAGGCUUAACACAUGCAAGUCGAGGGGAAACGACAUCGAAAGCUUGCUUUUGAUGGGCGUCGACCGGCGCACGGGUGAGUAACGCGUAUCCAACCUGCCCAUCACUUGGGGAUAACCUUGCGAAAGUAAGACUAAUACCCAAUGACGUCUCUAGAAGACAUCUGAAAGAGAUUAAAGAUUUAUCGGUGAUGGAUGGGGAUGCGUCUGAUUAGCUUGUUGGCGGGGUAACGGCCCACCAAGGCAACGAUCAGUAGGGGUUCUGAGAGGAAGGUCCCCCACAUUGGAACUGAGACACGGUCCAAACUCCUACGGGAGGCAGCAGUGAGGAAUAUUGGUCAAUGGGCGAGAGCCUGAACCAGCCAAGUAGCGUGCAGGAUGACGGCCCUAUGGGUUGUAAACUGCUUUUAUAAGGGAAUAAAGUGAGUCUCGUGAGACUUUUUGCAUGUACCUUAUGAAUAAGGACCGGCUAAUUCCGUGCCAGCAGCCGCGGUAAUACGGAAGGUCCGGGCGUUAUCCGGAUUUAUUGGGUUUAAAGGGAGCGUAGGCCGGAGAUUAAGCGUGUUGUGAAAUGUAGACGCUCAACGUCUGCACUGCAGCGCGAACUGGUUUCCUUGAGUACGCACAAAGUGGGCGGAAUUCGUGGUGUAGCGGUGAAAUGCUUAGAUAUCACGAAGAACUCCGAUUGCGAAGGCAGCUCACUGGAGCGCAACUGACGCUGAAGCUCGAAAGUGCGGGUAUCGAACAGGAUUAGAUACCCUGGUAGUCCGCACGGUAAACGAUGGAUGCCCGCUGUUGGUCUGAAUAGGUCAGCGGCCAAGCGAAAGCAUUAAGCAUCCCACCUGGGGAGUACGCCGGCAACGGUGCAACUCAAAUGAAUUGACGGA